rnacentral:rRNA from 1 species
AGCGAACGCUGGCGGCAGGCUUAACACAUGCAAGUCGAGCGGGCAUCCUUGUGGUGUCAGCGGCAGACGGGUGAGUAACGCGUGGGAACGUGCCCUUCGGUUCGGAAUAACUCAGGGAAACUUGAGCUAAUACCGGAUACGUGCGAGAGCAGAAAGGUUUAUCUGCCGAAGGAUCGGCCCGCGUCUGAUUAGCUAGUUGGUGAGGUUAUGGCUCACCAAGGCGACGAUCAGUAGCUGGUCUGAGAGGAUGAUCAGCCACACUGGGACUGAGACACGGCCCAGACUCCUACGGGAGGCAGCAGUGGGGAAUAUUGGACAAUGGAGGCAACCCUGAUCCAGCCAUGCCGCGUGAGUGAUGACGGCCUUAGGGUUGUAAAGCUCUUUUCUCCGGGACGAUAAUGACGGUACCGGAGGAAUAAGCCCCGGCUAACUUCGUG